rnacentral:rRNA from 1 species
GGUAAACGCUGGCGGCGUGCCUAAAACAUGCAAGUCGAACGGAUUGUCGCAAGACAGUCAGUGGCAGACGGCUGAGUAACGCGUGGGUGACGUACCUAUUGGUGGGGAAUAACUGCCCGA